AAGAAGUAAUCUUUUAAUAGAGAUACAGCUUGUACUCAAAGUUUAUCCAGUUCUGCUGACCUCAUCUAUUUUAAAAUUUCUCUGUGGAAUGACCCCUAGAAAACGAUUAUACACUACUUUUACAUCAUAAAUUCUGUUUUAUAAUUCCCAUGGAUCGUUUUUGUUUACUAUUUUCAUUUCCCUUUUACCUUCCUGACCAUCCAAAGUUUUUUGUUGUUUUGUUUUUUACUGCAGAGUUAGCGCUUACUAAAAACUCAUGGGAAAUAAAAUUGUAUUAUAUACAUUGUUUCACACAGGUUGAUGUAAAAAACACUUGGUAUCCUGUUGAAUGAAAGAACAGAACAGAUGCUUGUAUAAUAUAUGAAGCCAGAAAUACAUUCACAAUAUCUUCCAAAAAUAGUAAGGCAUUCUAAUAACACAGUUCAUGAGGAAUGAAGUAAAAAAGCUUGGGAGAGUUGAGGUUGUAGACUAUAUUUUGAAUGAAGCAUGGAUGGUUUGAAAAAUUUUAUCCAUAUUCUAAAUAUCUGGUUGUAAUCACUGAAUUUAUGAUUUAACAAUAUAAUUGUAAAGUAGUAUUUGAUUGUUUUAAAUGAAAAAAAAAAACUAGCAUGUGUUAGUCUGGAUUAUGCAUAUCUGAUCUCUUCCACUGACGAGUUUUAAACAUAUAUAAGCAAGAGGUCUACCUCUUUUCAAAAACUAGAUGGUUUUCUAGCAAAAUAUUUAUUUUCUGUAGAACAAUAUUGCUCUUAAUUCUCUAAGAUUAAUUUAUGGGAUUAAUAAUAAACCAGGAUAAGACAAGUUGAGCUACUAUCAUGGUAGUGUUCUGUGGGGGUUAAUUUUUUUUGAUUAUUUUGAAUAAUGGUCAAUGUAUUUCUCCUUUCCAAACUGAAGGAGGCAUCAACCAUUCCUGCAAAGUCUCAGAACACAAGCAUUAUAUUUCUUUGUUAAAAAUAAACACUGCUGAACAUGGCCUUGGCACAGUUUGUCAAAGUCACGAUGGCUAUACUAUUGACAUAAUGGUCCAUCAUUAUGAAAAACAAAACAAAAAAAAAAAAACCCUAGUUUCAACCAUGAUUUGAAUCUUUUCACUGUAUUCCAUUCACACCAAACUCAACACCAUCCUUGUGUCUUUUCCUAUCAAAAAUGUUUUAUUCUCGUUUUAAAAAUGUACUUGUUUGUUGGUUCUUCGAAUAAUUAAUUCUUCAUAAAGGAAUGGUUUUGAUAGCUCAGUAUAACUACAAAAUGAUUUUUGGAAAAAUGUGGUAUUGUAUAUGUCUUCUUUCCUUUCUCUGCUUCAGGAAGAAGUCUAAAUUUCAGAGCAAAGAAACACUGACAUGUUUUUCCCAGCAGACAAACUUGGAAACAUCAAAAAAAAAAAUGAAGAUUUGAUAACUGUUUAAAUAUACAAUAAUACUGAAACACAGGUCUAAUUAUAUGUAAAACCCAUGACAUACUUUCUUGAUUGAAAAUGAUUUCUGACAGCAACUCAAGGACAAGAAACUGUUUUGAAAGGUGAUCAGGAAAAGCCAUCUUGACUGUGUUAAUUGAUGAUGAAGAUAAAGAUGCAUUAGGUUAAUGAGGCAGGAGUGUUUGAGAUGAAGGAUAACUUUUAAGUCAACCCCCAUCCUUCUGAGAACCACCUGUCUUGGAAGAGCCAGUCAGUACCGCCUACCAGAUCCUCGCAGAUACUGUAAGGUCAGCAGAAUUCUGAGCUUCGAGGUUGCUUCAGUGAACAUUCAACGCUGUCGGUGAGUUUGGAAUUAAAAAUCAAAACCAUCGACCGUUGAUUGUACCCUAUGGCCAACCACCAUCUCCACCCGUGGCUUCAGAAAUUGCUGAAGACAGGAAACCAAAGCAGAACACACCGGGACCUUCCCUUCCUUGGGCAGAGGUUCUUUCUUAAAAGGUCACAAUCAACAUUCAUUGCUGUCGGUGGGUUGAACUGUGUGGACAAGCUCACUGAACAAUGAGUGCAACUGUGGCCCCGCAUUGUGCGAGCGUGAUCAAGAGGACCCCACCCCCGGAAGAUGCCGCUGAAAGUAGGGAGACGGCUCUUUACGCCAGCUUUUCAGGCGGCAGAGUCCACACGACCCAAUCUCAGUGGCAAAGGCACUAGUUAAACAAUGCUUUGCUGCAUUUCUGUAUGUUAUGCACAGAGCACUUUUUAAGAGAGUUAAGCUAUUUCGCCCAUGAAAUCUGUAACACAACUAAGUUUUCCCAUCUUCAUUUAGGGGUGAAAAAGGAAGCAUGAAGAAGGUUAUCAGCAUCUUUGCCUUUGGUACCCAUGCCCUUAAAGCAAUAACAACACUUAAAACUAUCUGUUCUCUGCAUCUUCUGUUAGAUUUCCUGGUCAAAUUGGAACAUAUGUGUCAAAUUUCUUCAGGCAUGUCUGACUCUUUGCCACCCUGUGGACUGUAGCCCGCCAGGCUCCUCUGUCCAUGGGAUUCUCCAGGUGAGAUUACUGGAGUGGGCUGCCAUGCCCUCCUCCAGGGGAGCUUCCCGACCCAGGGACCAAACCUGUGCUCUUACGACACGGGCAUUGGCAGGCAGGCCCUUUACCGCUGGCGUAAUCAUCAGGUAAUUGUAUCUUUCUGCUGCUCUGACUAAAAUAACACUUCCUCUUGUCACGGAAUUUGCUAAAGCGGGAAGAAAUAUAUAUAAAUAACUAUAGAACUCGCAGGACACUUCUGAGGAGUCAUAGAGCAGAUUGAUUUCCAUAAUUAAAUCCAACUUGCAGAGGAAAUGUUACCCACAUUUUCUGUUUUCCCUUCCAGGAACCUUAUCUAUCAUUAGACUUAUGACCACAGCUUAUGAACUGCCUCCUGUGACAUUAUGGUUUGGGUUUCUUAACUAGUUUGGUGCAAUGGUUUCAUAUAGUCCAAACGUCUUUGAAUUUGCAGUUUUAAAGUUAUCAUUUUUGAUGAUGAUAAUCAUUCCAUUAUUAGCUAUAGGAAUAACAAUAUAAAUACUUACGGAGCGUCUAUGUGUGGAGUAUCUGGAAGGCUUCAAUGUUUACUUUUUAAAGUCUGUUAAAUAUAUUAUUCUUUCCAUUUCUCGCCUUCUUCAAUUCCACUUCCAUUAACUCCCACUGCAGCAGCCCAUUCUUGUGCCCCUGCUCCACAGCUCAUCGUGAC
ensembl:lncRNA